rnacentral:lncRNA from 1 species
UCUUUUGGGAAGUGGUCUGUUCAUGUCUUUUUUGUCCAUUAAUUUUUUUAUUUUUUUGAGACAGAGUCUCACUCUGUCACCCAGGUUGGAAUACAACGGCGUGAUCUUGGCUCACUGCAGCCUCAAUCGCCCAGGCUCAAGUGAUCCUCCCAUCUCAGCCUCCCAAGUAGCUAGGACUACAGGCAUGCAACACCAUGCCUGGCGCUAACUUUGUUUAUUUUUUAUAGAGACGGGGUCUCACUAUGUUGCCCAGGCUGGUCUC